ACUUGAAGAUUAUGAUGUGCUUGAAAUUUCGAAGAAUUAAAUCAUUAGCUCUUUGGUCCAUGAUUUUGAGACCUAAGUUCAAAAUGUAUCACAACUCAAAAGAAACAUGGUGAAAUAAUUUUUAUGUAACUUGUAUCUCAAAAAAAAUUAUGCAAUUUUUUACUUGAUUUAUUUAAAAAACAAUGGAUGGUUCAUGAUUCUGGUGGAUUGUGAAUGAAUGAAUUAGUGAAAUGUGAUUGAUGAUGAAUAAAU
rnacentral:lncRNA from 1 species